rnacentral:lncRNA from 1 species
AGUAAACUUAUCAUUGUAAUGUAAUUUUUAUACAGAAAAAUGAACCUGGUGUGGCGAUGAAUGAAUUCUUAGAGCUUUACACAUGGUAGUGUAGCAAGCAGCACAGCUGGGGAGCAUCUGCACACUCCAUGCUCCCCUGUGCCUGCCUGCAGCUGACUAACCUCCCCAAGGGGAAUUCUACUUUGAUUUCUAACACCAGGGAGAUUUUCACCUGUGCAGUUUUUCUUGCUUGCCCUGGGUUCUACUUUUCUGGUUUUUGAAGUUCCAAGAACCAAAGUAAAAGUCUGUUUACUUAAGUAACUUAGUUACUUAAAGUAACUUAGUUAACUUUAAGAAAUUACAUAUGCUGUGUCUGUUAUAUUUUGUUGCCAUGGCAAACACCUAAGCUCAUCAGACAGGGAGUUCUUUGGCUCAUGAUUUUAAAGGCUUCAUAAUGUGUUAGCUGGUUCUGAUUGUUAGCCUAUGGCCAAGCAGAAAUAAGGUGGUUAGGAAAUAGACCCCAGGAAGGAGCCAGGAACAAGAUAAAAUCUCCACCAAGGUACACACUGGUGCUGUAGCCUGCCCCACCCCCUACCAGUGCAUUCAGCUGGAUAACCUCAGAAACAACAGUAGCCAAGGAACAAGCUUUCAACUUACCAGAGCCUUCUUGGGCUACUUAACUAUGGCAGCCAUUCUUUAUAGAAUGGAGAACAAGAAAGUCUGUGAUCUUAACAUCACUCCACCAAACUCCUUUCAUUAGCAUGUUUUUUCUUCUGGUCCUCUAUAUGUGCCUAUUAUAAUACAGUAUAAUCAAAGGAGUCAUACACUGUGAUUAUAAACUUUUUUAACUUAAUCUGUAAUAAGCACUUUUCAUAUUGCUGUGCUUUAAAGUAAUAUUUAGACAUGUGCUGUGUUGAGUGUUUUUGAAAUUCUGACAUAUGUUGGUUAUCUUUAAAAGUUUUAAUUACAAAUAAAUGUGUUUAAGCAAGAUG